rnacentral:rRNA from 1 species
AUUGAACGCUGGCGGCAGGCCUAACACAUGCAAGUCGAACGGAAGAACGGUGCUUGCUUGUGGUUUCCGCGGGGGACGGGUGAGUGUUGCACAGGAAUAUCCCUGGCUGUGGUGUAUAAUGUCCUGAGGAAGGCGCUAAUACUGCAUAAGUGCAGAGGCUGAACGUGGGGGAUCUUCGGACCUUUCGCUCUCAGGUGAGUCUAGGCGGGGUUAGCUAGUUUGUGGGUUAAGGGCCUACCAAGUCGACGAUCCGUAACUGGUCUGCGAGGAUGAUCGGCCACACUGGAACUGAGACACGGUCCAGACUCCUACGGGAGGCAGCAGUGGGGAAUAUUGGACAAUGGGCGAAAGCCUGAUCCAGCCAUGCCGCGUGUGUGAAGAAGGUCUUCGGAUUGUAAAGCCCUUUUAGUGGGGAGGAAGAGCAGUAGGUUAAUACCUCGCUGUUUUGACGGUACCAACAGAAUAAGCACCGGCUAACUUCGUG